GCAAACACCUUUUUCUUCACACCUCACUAGAGCAUUUCCCAGCCUUGUUCUCCUUAAUCAAACUCACCUGAAUAAAGUGACCAGGGCCACACUUCUCAAAAGCAUCGUGAGUGAAUUAUCAGAGAGACCAUCAGUGGCAAUAGCUCUACAAUCUACUGAAGCUUACCGUGCUUUUGGGAAACGCAGAUAGGUCAUUAGAAGAAACUCCAAGUCCUGAAACAGGUUACAGUUAGAGUUAGUCAUAUAUAAGAGAUGUUUAAAUGAGCAUCUGCUGACAUGUUUACUAAAGUAUCUGUGAAUAACUGUCAGUGCGGUCUCAGGUGUGAUCUCUGUGAAGCACUGGGCCGCGGCUGUGGAGAAGGUGCUGCGUCUGGGUCUGCCCUGGAGGGUCCUGAGGUCUCAGCUGGUGACCAGCAGCACACAGGACGGGACGCUGGACUAUCACGACUGGGUCAACCAGCUGUCCGUCAUCCAGCCCAACACCGAGGUUGCGAACACGAGCCUCCUGGAGACCCUCUACAAACAUCAUUCAAACCUGGAGAGCAUCUUCAGAAUGAUUGACACGGACCACUCAGGUCUGAUCUCGUUCGAGGAGUUUCGUCAGACGUGGAAGCUGCUGAGCUCUCACCUGCAGAUGGACAUCAGCGACAAAGCCAUCUCAGACCUGGCCGAGAGCAUCGACUUCAACAAGGACGGCAGCAUCGACAUCAACGAGUUCAUGGAGGCCUUUCGUCUGGUGGAGCAUUCUAGAGCCGAGACGGAAGCGCCGGCGUCACCCGAGUGAGCGCAGGUUCAUCAGAGC
ensembl:lncRNA